rfam:Brevibacterium sandarakinum strain DSM 22082 genome assembly, chromosome: I
CGGUCGGGACGACCCGAACGCAAUCAGUCACGAUGAGGACGGCCUCG